UACAGAGGGGGCAAGCGUUGUUCGGAAUUACUGGGCGUAAAGGGCGCGUAGGCGGCCUUCUAAGUCGAACGUGAAAUCCCCGGGCUCAACCCGGGAACUGCGUCCGAUACUGGAGAGCUUGAGUCCGGAAGAGGUGAGUGGAACUCCGAGUGUAGAGGUGAAAUUCGUAGAUAUUCGGAAGAACACCAGUGGCGAAGGCGGCUCACCGGUCCGGUACUGACGCUGAUGUGCGAAAGCGUGGGGAGCAAACAGG
rnacentral:rRNA from 1 species